CCUACGGGAGGCAGCAGUGGGGAAUUUUGGACAAUGGGCACAAGCCUGAUCCAGCAAUGCCGCGUGCAGGAUGAAGGCCUUCGGGUUGUAAACUGCUUUUGUACGGAACGAAACGGUGAGCUCUAAUACAGUUUGCUAAUGACGGUACCGUAAGAAUAAGCACCGGCUAACUACGUGCCAGCAGCCGCGGUAAUACGUAGGGUGCGAGCGUUAAUCGGAAUUACUGGGCGUAAAGCGUGCGCAGGCGGUGAUGUAAGACAGAUGUGAAAUGCCCGGGCUCAACCUGGGACCUGCAUUUGUGACUGCAUCGCUAGAGUACGGUAGAGGGGGAUGGAAUUCCGCGUGUAGCAGUGAAAUGCGUAGAUAUGCGGAGGAACACCGAUGGCGAAGGCAAUCCCCUGGACCUGUACUGACGCUCAUGCACGAAAGCGUGGGGAGCAAACAGGAUUAGAUACCCUGGUAGUCCACGCCCUAAACGAUGUCAACUGGUUGUUGGGUCUUCACUGACUCAGUACGAAGCUAACGCGUGAAGUUGACCGCCUGGGGNGACGCGCGAGUAGAAGUAAAGAAGUAGAGNGNGAGACGNGCGACGGCGACGACGAGGGGAGGUAGG
rnacentral:rRNA from 1 species